rnacentral:misc_RNA from 1 species
GAUGAAGAACGCAGCGAAACGCGAUAAGUAAUGUGAAUUGCAGAAUCCAGUGAAUCAUCGAAUCUUUGAACGCACAUUGCGCCCGCCAGCAUUCUGGCGGGCAUGCCUGUUCGAGCGUCAUUUCAACCCUCGACCUCCCUUUGGGGAAGUCGGCGUUGGGGACCGGCAGCACACCGCCGGCCCUGAAAUGGAGUGGCGGCCCGUCCGCGGCGACCUCUGCGUAGUAAUCCAACUCGCACCGGAACCCCGACGCGGCCACGCCGUAAAACACCCAACUUCUGAACGUUGACCUCGAAUCAGGUAGGACUACCCGCUGAACUUAAGCAUAUCAAUAAGCGGAGGA